UACGAGGGGAGCAAGCGUUGUCCGAAAUAACUGGGCGUAAGGGGUACGUAGGCUUUUUUGUAUGUUCUCGGUGAAAGUCACAGGCUUAACUUGUGAAUUGCCGGAAAAACUGCAGAGAUUGAAUCCGAAAGGGGAAAGCAGAAUUCCUGGUGUAGCGGUGAAAUGCGUAGAUAUCAGGAGGAAUACCAGUGGCGAAGGCGGCUUUCUGGUUCGGAAUUGACGCUGAUGUACUAAAGCGUGGGUAGCAAACAGGAUUAGAUACCCUGGUAGUCCACGCCUUAAACUAUGGAUACUUGAUGUCGGGGCGUUCGGUCGACCCGGUGUCGUAGCUAACGUGUUAAGUAUCCCGCCUGGGGACUACGGUCGCAAGACUGAAACUCAAAGGAAUUGACGGGGGCCCGCACCAGCGGUGGAACAUGUGGUUUAAUUCGAUGCAACGCGAAGAACCUUACCUGGGCUUGACAUAUAUAUGGCGUAUGUAAGAAAUUAUGUAUUCUGCCUGCUUUUGCAGGUAGCAUAUAUACAGGUGAUGCAUGGCUGUCGUCAGCUCGUGUCGUGAGAUGUAGGGUUAAGUCCCUUAACGAGCGCAACCCUUGCUUUUAGUUGCCAUCAGGUAAUGCUGGGGACUCUAGAAGGACUGCCGAGGUUAACUCGGAGGAAGGUGGGGAUGACGUCAAGUCAGUAUGUCCCUUAUGUCCAGGGCUACACACGUGUUACAAUGGUCGGUACUGAGUGACGCUAAUCCACGAGGUGGCGCCAAUCACUUAAAGCCGAUCCCAGUUCGGAUUGGAGUCUGCAAUUCGACUCCAUGAAGUUGGAAUCGCUAGUAAUCGCAGAACAGCAUGCUGCGGUGAAUACGUUCCCGGGAUUGUACACACCGCCCGUCACGCCAUGGAAGUUGGGAGUACCCGAAGUUGCUGUC
rnacentral:rRNA from 1 species